CUCUGCAGUAGUGAAGAUUUAAAGACAGCUGCUAGUAAACAUAAAAGCAGCUAUAUAAUGGCAUUACAAUGGAUUUUUUAUUUGAGAUUCCAGGAUGGGGUAAAUUUGUUACCCUAACAAAUGGCUGGUUAUGUGGAAAUUGACUUCACAUAACAGGGAACAUUUCCCUGGAAAAGAAGGCAAUUUAUAUUGGUUAAAACACCAAACAACCACACACUUCCUCUUCUUUGUUACUUAUAAAAAAAAAUGACAACAACAAAAAACCCCACCUAUGUAGUGUCUAGACAUGAGAACUCGCCAGUAAACCAUUCUUCUUCCAGGUGUCAUGGUACUAGUCCUGGAGCAAUUACAGAAGCACGAAUGGCUUUUCAGGUAUCUGUGGGAGUCAUACGUGGAAUGGGACAUUUUCUUAAUCUUAUCUACAGUUAUCUGUCCCCAGGAUCUUUUGAACUAAGCAAACUGAGAUCACCUGAUGUUCUCGUUUGUCUCUGUAACACAAGAAAAGGAAAAUCUAAGAUAUCCAUGGAGGUAUGUAUAUGUUUUGCAACACAAUAUUAUUUUUCAGACUGCAAUGUUGUAUUUGCUACAUGUCGAAAUGACCUACAAGAAAGAAAAAUACGGCAGUGGUGUCAGGAGAGAAAGUAAUGAAAUAAUAUAAAGGAAUUUAUUGAGGUGGAUAUCACGAAGUCUUGAAACUAGUCACCACUGCAAUUCGAGGUUCUCUUUUUUCUGGAUGUUCGUAGCAGCCUCCCCCAAAGAUAUGCCCACCCAGAACCUGAGAAUUUGUGUAAGGGGGCUUCACAGAUGUAACUAAACCAGGGACCUCAACAGGACACCAUCCUAGGGAAGUGUGGGCUCCAAGUUGAAUGUCAAGCUUCCUUGUAAGAGAAAAGGAGAGAAAAGACAUAGAGACACACAGAGGGGAAGGCUGUGUGAAGACAGAGGCAGAGGUUGGAGUGGUAAGUCUCCCAGGCAAGGUGUCAUCUGUCUGUGAUGCCGUAGCUGUUUUUCUGAAAACCCCCAGUGUGGUAUUAGCAAAGACAUUUGCUCUACGGGUAAGAUCUGCAGGUGAAUCCAGGCUCCGUGGUUUAUUGGAGCUGGGAUGUUAGCCAGUCACUGGACCUUCUGGAUCUUCCUAAUCUUCUUUUGAAAAAUGAGGACAGAUUCACUGUACAUAUGAAAGGAUCUCAGUCACUUGCGUUGAUGACGAUAACACACACAUAGGACCUGAGUGGGCCUUGAAGACAGACAAAGGCCGAUCCUCUUCAUUUCUGUAGCUGCCAUUUCCGAGGUUAAGUUGGUAAGGAAACCAGGGCGAGAAUUUCGGUUACUUAACCACCAGAUUAGUGCUCCUUUUGUCAUUUUAUAGGCUCUGUCCCCAUCCCUGUGGCUAUAAAAUAAGGUCUCACCUGAAAGGUGUCAUUCAACUCAGUAAAAAGGCAUCUCUCUUAGAACGGACACUGAUAUUAGGCUUCAGGUUAGAUAAUGACACUGGGACAAAGAGGUCAAAACAGAAGAUGUGAAGAAGUGGGUUGAGAGCUAAGCUGCGAGGGGCCCAGCCCCCCUGUUGGCAAAACUCACGCCUGCCCGGAGCACGGAGAGCGCAAGUGUUUUGCGGCAGCUUUCAGAAAGGGGCCAGAUAAGCCCUGGUAGGGUGAGAACCCUCCAAUUUUAAAGCCAUAUUGUUUAUAUCCUGUCACCCUGUGUUUAUUUCCCUUUCGCCGUUUCAUUAUAAUAUAAUGAAAACAUUUUGAAAGGGUCCACUGGCCUCAGUUUUGCAACGAGGAAAUCAAGAGAAAGGUGUUGCCCUCUUCGGACCAAGGCUGGACCAGCCUAUGAACACCUACCGCUACGUCUUGUGACUGUCAUUCCGCUCGGUUCUUAAGCUUAUGGCACCUUCCUGCUCAUGCCUACAUUUCCACAUUUUUAUAAGCUCAGCUGCAUUCAGUUUGCCCUGGACCCAAAGGAUCGACUCCAGUUUCUUCAGGAUGCUGUCUACAUAACCAGUGAGACCUACACGUCCUGGUCCACGUGUGUGUGUGCAAACACGCAUUCACAUACACAGGACUUGUCGUAGGCAGCAGUCACAGAAAAGAGGAUGCUUUUUCAAGGCCCUGUUCUGUGAGAAAUACUGCUUAAAAUGACUACUCUGAGCCUGGGAGUAUUACCCACAUUUGUUAGUAAAUAAUACACAUUUUUACAUAGCUCUCUGUAGGAAUAUUUUGAAGUUUUCUUUAACAGAGAACUUUAUGAAUAUAGUGAAAGGAUUACUUGGAAAUGGAAGAACACAUGCCUCGGUGAGAAGCCCAUGUUAAUACGCAGUUAUUCUGGGUGUCAUUGUAGAUCCAAUAAGUGAUGGAUGAUUCAGUCUGUGAAUAUGAUCAUUCAAUGCCACCGCCCUGGUUAAAGAGACACACGUUCACCAAGGAGUUCCAUCACUACUUGAUCCAGUCUGAGACCUCAUCGGCUGUUGCUUGUCACCCUCCUCCUCACUGUCCCUUGCUGUCCUUGACCCGUGGCAGUCUGUGCUGAAAUGGCUCCCUCGUCAGAACGUUUUCAGGGACCAACAACUGCCUCCUCCUGACGCUAUGAAUCAGGCUUCUCUAGGUGUCUCAGGAAGCGCAGUGGACUUGCCCAAGCGCAGGCCUGGCGGAGAGCGGAGCAGCAGGGAACGCUGACACAUGCGCCACCGUUGUUUGCACACACGGGCUACGCCUCACUGAAGACAGCAGGUCAAUUACUCAAGAAGCCCGUUCGUGGAGUUUAGCUGCCAUGAGCUUGCUAUCUUUCAUCCUUUAUGCCUGAGAACAACCGUGAUUAUUGCAGACCUUUUCAAGAACUUUCUCUGCAUCAUGCCACGUGCUGAGGGCUCCUUACACAGUAUCUUGUUUAAUCUCCAAAUGACCGUAUGAAGUGGCUGCUCUGCUAAUUAAUUUCACAGCAGUGGAAGCUAAGGCCCACGUAGGUAUGUCACCUGCCCAAUGGCUCUGGUUGUUCACCUGUGUCUUCAAGCACCUUGUGGGAAGAACAUUCUCUUCCUUACCCUUCCGUCCACCACGUGGCAUAUAUUGUCAGCUCUGCACACAGUGGAUGCCAGAUUACUACCUGUGAAUAGCCACUUCCCAAGAGGAAAUUUUAAAAACAAAGACAAAGAGACAAUCAAAGCAUGUUGUAUGAUGUUUCCUUCCAAAUCUACUGUCUUGAGGUCCCCUACAAACCACUCCCAGACUCGGACGGAGUGGUGGUGGUUCUGCAAGAAGCUAACAGUGACCGUGGCGGUGUCUCCCUUCAGAUCUCUGUGCCACAACUGGGGAUUCCAAACCCAUGGCUGUGAACUAUCUGUACAGACAUCCACCAUCCUCUGUCGGCUAAAGUGUCAUCUUUCUCCUGGCUCAUAUUAUAAGCCUCUCAGCUCUAUGUAGAAAGAAGUACUUGGCUGGGUGCAGCACGUCUGCAGGAGCCAUCAGGUUGAGCAGAUCCUGGGUGUUUACGUUUUUCCAGGGCUCAGCACACCAGUUCCACAUCAGAUAGCUUCUUAGGUCUAAAAACCCAGAUGUCACUGGCAUUAAGUCCACGCAUGGUCAGGCCACUCGAGGUGGCUGUUCUCUUGCUCUCUGGACAUCCAUCCCCUGCUCCCCCAGCGCCUACUUCCCCUCUGCCCUACUCACAGGACCGACCCCCUACAUACUUGCCCCAGACGCCAGCUAGGGGUUGUUCUAUCAAAGGGGUGGUGAAGGGUGUGCCCCUGUGCUGGUUUCUCUGGUAACUGAUGAGCCAACCCGAUGUCAAUUCCCCCUAUAACUGGCAACCUCUUUCUACCCCGAAGAGCGAAGACUGCCACCAUGUCCCACUCACUGUCCACCACACACAGUGGGGUGUCACUCCAGGACCAUGCCUCAGAUGUAUAAGAACCCCCUGUCCAUUAAACCACUGCUUCUCUGUUACUGACUCCAGGCUCUUCUGUCUUGAAGCUGGGGUGCAGCCCAACAGUCUUAUCUGUAUCCUUGAAGUCUCUUUCCCUUGCCAUCCUCUACAUCAUUGGUUAGAACAAUAAUGACCAAGAAAACACAGGGUCAAGCCAGUCUUCAGUGCCCCAGAAUUGAGUGGAGCUCGUGCUAUUGUAGUCCCUGUGUCUUAUCAGUUCAUUGGAAAUUGUUAGUGUAUCCCUGAAUUAUGUCUCAGAUUUCCAUUGUUGGCUCCGUUUCCAGCUCAGGCUCAAAGGAAGUCCCAUGCCUAGUUCUCCAGACCAGCUGAAGAUACUUGCUGCAACCCACAGUGACUAAUUUGGUUUUACCCUGGAUGUAGAGUUUAUCACAAGCUGAAUAACUCCAGUUCCAUCUGUCGUCAGAGGAUACCCAUUGCCCAGGUUGGCUGCUGAGAACCAGAAAGGGCAGAGGAAAGAGGAAAGGCCUCCCCGGGAACACUCAGUUACUCCAAGAAAGACUCUUCUAAGAAAGAGUCAAGGCCAAUCGUGCCCUUCACUGGAACAAGAGCCAGAGACACAAGAGGAAAGAAGAGACAAGGUGGUCCUGACACCCAGGAAGCUUCAAGACUAAGAUGGUGGCAUGAGCAGAGAAAUAGGAUGCACCACCAUAAGCAGCAGAGGACACAAAGAAGACAUGACUUUAAAUAAAUAAAUUGCAAAUUGUACGCACUAGCUGUCUCCCCUCUGUCUACCCAGUGAUGACAUCAGACCAUGGGCUAAAGUGUGAAGCCAGAGGGGUAGAUGGGCCCAACAGCUGGUCUCACCGCCUUGGCAUGCCUCUUGGGCUCUUCGGUUUGAACCCCCCUUGUUAGUUUGCAGCAGGGAAGAAAAUAAAGUAAGACGUUUAAUUCAGUGCUGUCCUCCGGAUUCUUCCAAUAAGGUCACAGUGUCGCAAUGCUUCAUCCUCUGACCUCACCUCUCUGGACUCCCAUCGUCACAUGGAGUCUCUUUGUCAUCCUUCCUUUUUCAGCUGCUAUUUACUCUGAGCUUCUGUGCUUCAGAAAGCUGACACUUGGGAUGCAGAGUGACCUAGACCUCCCUGGUGGGCUGCUUCCCUUUCGGUCCCGGUUAGGUGGGUUGGGCCUGCCCCCAUCCCUGUUGCUGGCCCGCUGCCCUGCUCACCUGACCAGUGGCACAACGGGAGAUGCCGUAAGUAGGUCUCCAAGUGGAAUCACAAGGGAAAGAUGCAACGGCCUCGAAGAGAAUGCCACACGAGUAAGAAAAGAAAUGGAAGCAGGAACAAUGAUGCAACCUGACCAAACAUGAGAUCAAAGGAAAGGCUGAGUGAAGAGAAACCCGAGGGCUCCGAGACAGAGAUGUGGAGGGGAGUGUCCCUAAGCCAAGAUGCUGGUUGAAUUCACUUCCAUUGUAACACCAAACAGAUCUUUUAAAAGCCCAAAAGUAGAGCAUGAGAACACUGGUUGGGAGCUCAGACUCUGCCUGAUUCUCAGCACUGCCUCUUACCAACUCGGUGACCUCAAGGAAACCACUGAGUUACAGGUUCCUGUCUGUAAAAUGGGAACAGUCCUACCUACCUCCCAGGAAUAUUUCAAGGUUUAAAUGAGAUCACAGCCCGAGCACUUCUCUAGCACCUACUAUGUGCCAGACAUUGUUCAGUAACUUGCCCAAGGUCACACAGCUAGGAAGUGGCCAAGUGGUGAUUUGACCCCAGGAAGGCUGGUGCCAGUCUGUGUCCUUAUCGACCGCACCACUCAAUAUAACGCUCAUAAAUCACUCAGCCCGGUGCCUGGAAUAUGAUAACGGCAUUGUACACGUCAGCUAUCAUUUAUUAUUAUUUGCCUUACGCCAGGCAUAAGAAAAACCUUCUUGUCAAUAGGGACUGGGGGACAAGAGAGGCUCCAGGUGCAACGCCCAGAGCGCUGAGUGCCAGCAAAGUCGUUCUGGGAGAAUUCAUAAAGAGAGGUGCAGCGGUUCCCUGGAGCUGUGUCUAGCUUCUCAAGUCUUCUUGGUUUAGCACCAUCCUCUCUUCUCUUUUCCAAGACUGACUCAGAGCUCCGGGUCUCAAUGGAGAACCAGAGAUGAUCCUCACCUUCUCAUUUUAUACACAAGUACAUUGAGAUCCGAGUUAUAGCAGCUUAUCACAGAAGCUUUGUAAAUUAGCGACAAAGCUGAUCCUUGAACAAAAGUCUCCUGAUGCCCAGAUAAUGCCCUGCUUCUUAAACCUAGAGCCAAUGUGUACAUACGCCAGAUUUUUCUAGAUUUCAAAGUGUCUUGUCCAUUGUGUGCUUAAGUGCAGUCCUCUUCGCUAAAUAAGUGAUUGAAUUAUUGAUUAGGAAAAUAUGGUUACGACAAUGAUUCAUCACAUGGAAGACAGUUACAGAAUCUCUCUCUCCAUUUCCUUCUAAUGGCCCACGGGGGUGGGGAGGUGGAGCCUAAAUCAAAAGGUCCCUAAUUACCUACCACAAUCCCUUUGGUCUUCCAUGGUCCGGAGGUUUGAGGACCUGUUUGGCAGCGCUGAGACCCAAAAGCCCACAUUGAAUUAGGUCAUUCAAGUGCUCCAGAAGGGACAUGAAACAUUGAAAUUAAGGACCUCCUUCCACUCCUCCCAAAAGACCCUUCGCCUUUAAGGGCUCCUUUUAAAAGCCAGCGAGUUUUCUCUGAUCCUCCCUAAUAAAGUGCCCCAGCAGCAGCGCUCCCCUUCCUUAUUUGAGAUCUGUGCAGUCUCAUUAAAUUUGAUGUGUCGCAGAGGGCUUGGCCACGUGAAAGGGAGGCUGUGGGAGCAGAACUGGAGGAUGCCAGCUUUCCUAAGGAAACGUAAUUCAUUACGGCUUUUCAAAAUGGACGCCCCUCUGGCUUCCUGCUCCAUUGAUUUCUCCCCCUUUGCAAGUUACAAGCGAAGGGCCAGCUCAGCCUGCAGAUUUAACCCUUAUUAACAGCCGUUUAAAUUAGAGAUGCGGUUUGAUGGAGAGACGGGAGCCUUCGCAGAUCCCCACUCAAAGGAAACCGAGAAGAGAUGAUUAAAGAUGAAAAAGGAUGCAGUCGGCUGGGGUGAGGCUGAAGAGGCGGCAUCUACCCCCGUCCGAGGAGGGGCUCGCACCGCUGUUAAGUAGUUUAUCCAAAUAAUGUGGGUCUACUUUUCCCUGAUUAAAUAUUCAUAACCUACUCCUUCCUCCCCCGCCCUUUGGAAAGAGUAAUGGAGGAAGGAGUAUUUGCUCUUCUAGGUGAAGUGUCGGACAGGAGGACCGAGGCAGACCGCCAGCAGGCUGGCUCCCGACCUUGACUGCUGCCUCCUGGGCAGGAGUGACGUAGAGCACCUGGGACGACCUGCUGGGCUGCAGGCUCCCCUGAGACCCUGGAGCGAAAACCCCAAUGCUUUGGUGCCCCUGCAUGGCAGAACCCAAAGGAGACCAACCUGCUCCAGGGUCCGAGCCUGCAGAACAGAGACCAGACCCAUCAGGCAACAGUAGCCUCCACCUCUGUCUGUGGGGACCAGCGCGUGCAGGGGCCCCAAAAAGACCCAGGGAGAGAAACUGCAAGAGCGGUGCUUGGAUAAAGGGAGGAGGCAGACGUCCAGGACGGGGCUGCUCCCCCCAGCCUUUGCUCCAGUUUUACGUGCAGCCUCGGAAUGCCUCAGACUCCUUACUAACCCUUCGUGGUCUCAGGGGUACCACUGACAUUGUUCCUCCACAUUUCUCCCUUAGCAAAAGAACGUGGGGCAUCACACUGGGUAAGCAGACAAAGCCAGACUUCCCUGCCCAUUGGGAAAAUGAGCCACGAAAAAGAUGUCUCAGGGAAGGAUGUGGACAACGUGUCCCCUCAAACAGCAAAGCCCACUCUGUUCAGAUAAUGCUAACAACCGUCACCUUCCCUCUAAACAUAAAGACAAUAACCCUCAGGAUCAGGGUCCUAUCGUCUGGAAAACGCAUGUGUGCCAGCACUGCUGUAAGAACAAAAAAGCAGCGAGGUGGCUCUCUCACGCUCAUGCUCUACAAAUUUAUUUCCCUGGCUUGCAGCAUCUAACUCAAGGAAUCUAAAGAGAAACAUUCUAUGAUGAAAAUAAAAACAAGAGAGGCUUAAGUAAACCUGGCGCUGACAGCGCUGGCAUUACAUAUUAAGUGAACGAGGACAUCAGCUCACUCGGUUCUUAUUUUACUUCAUUUAGCCGAGGUGCAUAGAAGAUUUUGGGGGGGGAGGGGGCGAGUCUAAAUUUUAUCAGAGCAACCCGGAGAGCAAAAACGUCAGUACACCCUAGUUUUCACUCCACAAAGAGUCAUUCUCUCCCCCACCCCAAGUCCCAAAAUAAAACAGAAAUAUACAGAACGCAUGGCAAUGCCCCUCCACAUCUUCCUCCGCUGGCUUUGGUGACACUGACGCAAGUUUUUCUGGGAGACACAAAGUCUACACAGACGUCGGUAUAAAUAGGGUUUUCUUCAAACUGUUUGGAAACAAAGUUUUAAAGUAUUCACAGUGUCAGAGAAAGUUAUGCCAGCUUGUUCUCGCGGUGGUGCGGGGAACAUCAGAGAUAAAGGUUUCCCCCUUUUUUUGUAACUAACUGACACCAUCAGGGGAGUGCACCCAGAUGAGGCACUGGGAAAAUAAACUAUGCAUUCCCAACGUAUGUCCAGUCCAGGGACAGAUGAAGGGAGGUACGUGCCGUGAGAGCUGCCAAGAACUUUCAGGUUCAGAACAAGUGUCCAAAGCAAGACGCAGACUUGGCAAAAGCCCUUUCCUCUUAAUUUCAAACACGCGCAUAUGUGCAGGGAAAUGUAAUCCCUGUUUUUUUCUGAGACACUUUCCCUUUCUAGAACACCCAGGCCCUGCUGCACAAGCACGUACCACAUGAAAAAGGAGCUCAUAACGUGGAGGCAACUUUCCCGCCAAACGAGAAGUUACUCCCACCGGGAAGAAGGCAUGUGUUGUAAGAGGUCUUUGGCUCAACUACACCCUGUGCUCCCACAGUGAAAUAGUUCUCUGACCCCUGAAAAUGUACGGGAUGAUAAAUGUAAAUGGGGGGACUAGGGAAGGAAAGAAAAAAACGAAGUGCUAUUACUGAGCAUUUAGUAUGUCCCAGAAAGUGCUUAAGAACUUAACAUACUGCCUCACGUUGUCUCAUUUAAUCUUUGCAACGAUGCUCCGAGAUCAAUUAUCUCUUCUUUUUUCACUUAAAAAUGAAGACCCCGAGGACCAGAUGGGUUGGCUAAAUUCCAAGGCCCAAGGGGCUGAGCAAGGACUGGGAUCACAACAUAUGACUAGUUGUGAAGCCACUCUCUAUCCUACGACACUGCCUCCAGCGGCAAAGGUCUUUAGAAACCACAGAACCAAACUCUGCCGAGGUCACAAAAGCCUGGAAACCAGAAUCUUGAUUCUUAGCGCAGUCUUUUUUCAUAAUAGCAGGACAAGCGCUGCGUUUGCUUCAAAAUGUUUGUUUGCUCCAUUAAACUUCUAAAAUGAGUCCAGGAGUCUCCUGCUACAACACUUAGCACCAAGUGCAGUCAGACACAAGCCAUACUAUGCAACAGUGAUGACAGUGAUCAGUCAUAUGGACCAAUUAUUUCAACAAAUACUUACGUGUGCCCACUGUACUACAGAGAUCCUCGGGUAAAAAUACACACCCAUCCAGGCGUAGCCUCAGCCUGGCCUCCUAUCCCCAUUCCCAGUACCCUUUGCCUACCGUCUACCCAAUUACACUGUUAUCAUCAGAAGCUAAGAAAACAUCGUCAAAGCAAAAACAGAUAUAGAUACUCACACGGCAGAGAGGCGUUUUGAAUUCCCACAAUGGAGGUAGAAGGCCUGGUCGGCAAACUCCUUCCCUGACCACUAACAGGCACCUGCAACCUUUCCCUGGCCUCAAACUCAGUCUAACUUCAGCUGCGGUCUCUCUGCUUCUAGUUUAAAGCACAGAGCCCGCCCACCUUGCUUUCUUCCCCUGCUUUCCCCUUCAGUCAGCCCCACCUGUAGCGAAAUCCAUUUUCCAUCCACCCGUCAUAGUCUACACCAUCUCCCCAACUAGCCUCUUCUUCAGUGUCGUGUGGAAUCCUGCUCUGAGUAAUGAGCAAACGCCCGCGGAGCGGCAGAUCCUGACACCAGCCUGCUGUCCACCUCUGUCUCAGAUGGAAACGUGGCUUUCCCUUCACCGUAAGUGGCUCUCAAACCCCUUCCCCGUAGCUGUUUCCUCUUCCCCGACCCCAACUCAGAGAAGGUCACACUUGCUCUCAACCUACCUUGCGGAGCAUGGUCCUUCCGCCAUCACACAAGAGUCCUUCUGCUUUGCAACUCUCGUCUCUCCCUCCUUGUUAUACACUUCCGACCCUCAACGCCUGGAACACCCGAGGCGCCACGAGCACGCUAGGCUUUUAUGGAUGACGGAUGACCUAAGCCUCGCGAGAUCUCCAGCUCCUCAACAUCAGUGACUUUCACCUGCCUUCUGUUUCGCCCAGCAAAGCAGUGGGUCUCCAAGUAUGGUUCUUGGCUCACUCACAUCAGCAUCACCUGAAACGUGUUAGAGAUGCACCUCUCAGCCCCACCCUAGACCUGCGGAAUCAGACUCUUUAGGGGCGGGGCCAGCAAUCUGUGCUCUACCAAGCCCUCCAGAUGAUUCUGAUGCGCAGAAGUUUGAGAACCACUAGUGCAGAGGAUGGCCCCACCAUGGACCACGUCAUUAACUGGAGCUUUUUGACUCUUAAGAUCUGUGCUUCACCGACUUGUCAUCAUUUUUCCUAUUCUCUCAACUUUGUUAACCUAAUAUUUGCCACGGUCUAGAAGCCUCUUCUGGCCUCACCUUCACUCAGUCUGGACCCCGGUCAGCCAUUUCCAUGAUGCCUCUAAGAUUGCAUUUGCUACUUAACUGGUAGCCUCUAAAUUUGGACUUCUGGCACAAGCUAUAAAAUUGUGCUGAUUGAUUCCAAGCUGGGCCACUGCUACUGGUUUAUAACCUCAGCAUCCAUUUCUUUAGGAUCUUUUCAUUUGCUCGUUAUGGUAUUUCCAACAGUUAUCUGCUUUCAUCCGUACUGGCAUUUCUACCCAGACUUCCACACUUUCAGCCAAUGGUCUUGACUCUCAGUUUACUAAGAAUAAAGUCACCCAGGCAAGUGCCCUCACUUUUCACCCACUGCUCUCCAAGUCAUCUCUAGAGCUGCUUCUCCUGAAGUAGAAGCAUUCUCCUCUCUUGGACUCUGAAUCUUCUCGCCUAUGACUCCACCAGAACCUCGCUCCUCAGGAAGCCAGUGGAAUGCAGGGCCUCCGGAAGGGAUGUUCAAGACCACGACUUGCCAGAGGGUAGAGGAGGCUGUCAGUGAUGAAUCAUGUCACAUGCCAGAACCAGGUCCAGCCGAGUGAAACUGAGGGAAGGUUAUUUUCUUUGGACCAUUACUAGAUAACCGGUUUCAAGAUUGCUGUUUUAGUAGAAGGGUGAGGACGAAGACAGAUUGGAGGGGGGUAAGAGAAUAAAGCAAGGACGUAAGGGGGUAUACAGCCCAGUAUUAAGAGAAAUUUAGCCAUGUAGCAAAAGAUGAGAGUAGAAAUGUAGCUAAAGAGACUGAGGACUCAACGGACAGCCUUCUCUCCACCAUUGCUGAGAUCUAAGUCUGUUCUAUGCAAGGGAAAGCAGUCAGCAGAGAAGAACAGAAUAAAGACACUGGGAGGUGGGAUAAUUAAAGGAAAAGGUCCUGCAAGGGACACAAAGAUGUAGAAUAGAGAGCAAACCUGGAGGGGUCUGUUCAUCCGGACUCUUGGCUGCAAAUGACAGUGUAUCUUCAUCAACUAACUCAGGCCAAACAAAAAUAUCCCGGCUCACAUAACCAGCAAGGGGAGGAAUGUCAUAAUACAUCUGUCCAAACCCAUAAAAUGUACAACACCAAGAGUGGACCCUAAUGGAAACUAUGGGCUUUGGGUGAUAACGAUGCGUCAGUGUAGGUUCAUCACUUGUAAUAAAUGCCCCGCUCCAGUGGGGGAGGCUGUCCCUGUGUAGGGGCAGGAGGUAUAUGGAAUGUCUCUGUAAUCUUCCUCUCAAUUCUGCUGUGAUCUUAAAACUGCCCUGAAAAAUAAAUAGUUAUAUUUUAAUAAUUUUUAAAGACUUUAUAGCAAAAAAAUAAAUAAUGUCAAGUGUCAUA